UACGUAGGGGGCAAGCGUUGUUCGGAAUUACUGGGCGUAAAGCGCGCGUAGGCGGUUUGAAAAGUCAGAUGUGAAAGCCCCGGGCUCAACUUGGGAACUGCAUUUGAUACUGUCAGACUAGAGUACAGAAGAGGUGACUGGAAUUCCCAGUGUAGCGGUGAAAUGCGUAGAUAUUGGGAGGAACACCUGCGGCGAAGGCGGGUUGCUGGGCCGACACUGACGCUGAUGCGCGAAAGCCAGGGGAGCGAACGGG
rnacentral:rRNA from 1 species